GUCCCCGUAGCAUAAGCUGGAUAAUGCACCUUCCUCCUAAGAAGGCGACUGGGUGUUCGAAUCACCCCGGGGACGCCA
rnacentral:tRNA from 2 species